rnacentral:lncRNA from 1 species
ACGGCGAAGAAGAGUUUAGCAAGACAUGGUAGGUGUGGCAGAAGCGCCUGCAGCAAAGACUGGUCUUUAUGUAGAUGUGUGAUUCCCUCUCUCUCUCUCACUCUCUGUUUGCUU